UACCCAAAGUUCCCAUGGCAAACUGCUCAGUAACACAUGAUCAACUUACCCUAUAGAGAAAAAUAACCUCGGGAAACUGAGGAUAAUGUUUCAUAGUUGAAUUGGCUUGGAAAAGCUUUUCGACGAAAGGGGUAAAAAGAAUGGUUUUUAUCUGCUAUAGGAUAGGAUCGUGUUCGAUUAUGGUUGUUGGUGAGGUAAUGGCUCACCAAGCCGAUAAUCGAUAGGGGCCGUGAGAGCGGGAGCCCCGAGAUGGGUACUGAGACAACGACCCAGGCCUUACGAGGCGCAGCAGGCGCGAAACCUCCGCAAUACACGAAAGUGUGACGGUGUUACCCAAAGUGUUCAAUUUUGAACUGUGGUAGGUGAGUAAUGUUCCCUACUAGAAAGGAGAGGGCAAGGCUGGUGCCAGCCGCCGCGGUAAAACCAGCUCUUCAAGUGGUCGGGAUAAUUAUUGGGCUUAAAGUGUCCGUAGCCAGUUUAGUAAGUUCCUGGUAAAAUCGGGUAGCUUAACUAUCUAUAUGCUAGGAAUGCUACUAUACUAGAGGGCGGGAGAGGUCUGAGGUACUACAGGGGUAGGGGUGAAAUCUUAUAAUCCUUGUUGGACCACCAGUGGCGAAGGCGUCAGACUGGAACGCGCCUGACGGUGAGGGACGAAAGCCAGGGGAGCGAACCGGAUUAGAUACCCGGGUAGUCCUGGCCGUAAACGAUGCAUACUAGGUGAUGGCACGGCCAUGAGCCGUGUCAGUGCCGUAGGGAAACCGUUAAGUGUGCCGCCUGGGAAGUACGGUCGCAAGGCUAAAACUUAAAGGAAUUGGCGGGGGAGCACCACAAGGGGUGAAGCCUGCGGUUC
rnacentral:rRNA from 1 species